rnacentral:rRNA from 1 species
CUACGGGAUGCUCCAGUGGGGAAUAUUGGACAAUGGAGGAAACUCUGAUCCAGCCAUGCCGCGUGAAUGAUGAAGGCCCUCGGGUUGUAAAAUUCUUUUAGUAGGGAAGAUGAUGACGGUACCUACAGAAUAAGCUCCGGCUAACUUCGUGCCAGCAGCCGCGGUAAUACGAAGGGAGCUAGCGUUGUUCGGAAUUACUGGGCGUAAAGGGUCGUAGGCGGCCUAGUUAGUCAGAUGUGAAAGCCCCGGGCUCAACCUGGGAACUGCGUUUGAUACUGCAAGGCUAGAAUUCGGUAGAGGUGAGUGGAAUUCCCAGUGUAGAGGUGAAAUUCGUAGAUAUUGGGAAGAACACCAGUGGCGAAGGCGGCUCACUGGACCGACAUUGACGCUGAGGCACGAAAGCGUGGGGAGCAAACAGGAUUAGAUACCCCAGUAGUC